rnacentral:lncRNA from 1 species
UUUGAAUGAAUUUUUGUACACGUCAGUAAAUAUUGCCACGUGUAAGCCAUGUGUAAGUCACAUUAACACCCGUUAGUCUAGUUGGCAGAUUUAUUAACGGCAGAGGCAUGAUUGACCCAAGAAAUAUAACGUUAAGGGUAUUUUUGGACAAAAAAAAAGUAUAGGGUGUUCGGUAGACAUCGCGGUAAAAAUUGGGGGUAUUUUUGACCAUUCUCCCUGUAAUAAAGUAAUACUCCAUCCGUCCCAAAUUAAUUGCUCAAUUUUAACUUUUUAAAGUCAAAUUGACCAUUUUUAAAACUAAUCUUUUUACUAUUUUUGUUAAAAUAUAGGUGAAGAGAUUAUGUAAGACCCCAAAUUAUUAAUAAAUGAAAUUUAUUUUCCUCUAUUUAUUAUUUUAAAAUAGUAAGGGUUGAUUUGAUUAAUGUGGAUAGUUAUGGGUAAAAUACGCAAAUAUUUCGAAUAAGCAAGUGGUUAUAAAAUAUUCAUUAUUGUCGGGGAAUAUUCGUUUGGUCGUGGAAUAUUCGUACUGUCGGGGAAUAUUCG